ACAGACUGAAUAUGCUUGCAUAGGCUGACUGGUAGCUAAAAGCAAGACAUUGAGUAGGUAGGGAUGGCCGUUAGUACUGAUUUUACCAUUGUCAUCUUUCCUGCUUUUGAUAGGUGAUGAGUGGACCAUUUUGCAGUUCUCUUCUUGAUCUUAUCUACCGUUGAGGCCAGUUCAUACUCAAGGAGGAUGUCUUUUAGUGCUUGGCAAGAUUCUGGAGUAGCAUAGCAGAAGAACAUCGUGUCAUCUGCAAACAACAAAUGGUUUAUCCAUGGAGAACCUCUAAAUACUCUCACACCCGAGAAAGUCCCCUGCGCUCCACCGCCUUACAUAAACAUGUAAGUACUUCUCCACAUAAGAUGAACAAAUAGGGCGACAUCAGAUCCCCUUGUCUGAUCCUUCUCUGAGGAGUAAUAGAACCAUACACAGCUUCAUUGAUUAAGUAGGAGUAAGUUACAGUUGUAAUGCAUUGAAUAGUCAGAUUGAUCCAUUUCUCGUGGAACCCCAGUCUCUGAAGUACUUGUAUGAUAAAAUCCCACUUCAAACGGUCAUAAGCCUUGCUCAUGUCAGUUUUCACUGCCAUGAGGCACUUUUUCUCUGCUUGUGAUGUCGUUAGGUAGUGGAGUACUUCGUGUGUAAUGAGUACGUUUUCUGAAAUAGCCCUCCCAAGAAUGAAAGACGAUUGGGUCUCUGAGAUUAUUUAGGUUAGGACAGGCUUUAUGCACAUAGCUAGCAACUUUGAUAUGAUCUUGUACAAAACAUUGCAUAAAGCUAUUCGUCAAUAGUCUAAAACUUGUUUAGCUCAUGUAAACUUGGGAAUAAGUCUCACAUGUAUCUUAUUCAAAGAAGUAGGCAUAGAUCCCGAUGAAAAGGAUUGUUGGAUCUCUAGGACAAUAGCUGGUCCAACUGUUUCCAAAUUAGAUUGAAAGAAAGUUGCAGAGAUGCCAUCUGGUCCGGGUGCCUUGUCUGCAUGAAUAGCUAGGAGAGCUUUAAUUUCCGUAGGAGAUGGGCCUCUGAUAAAUAACUCGUUCAUCCCCCUUGAUCCGCAGGGUUCCAAGGCGUUGAAAACAGUUUGUGAACCCGCAAAGGAGGCAGAAGUGAAGAGCUUCGUAUAGUAUUGGGAGAUGAUUCUUGCAAUAUGUUCCUCUUCGAAAUCAGGUACCUGUGCUUCAUCUUCCAAAACUGUCAAUUUGUUUUUUGUUCGACGUCCUCUUGUAACUGCAUGGAAGUAUCCAGUGUUGGAGUCUCUCUGGGUCAGCCAGAUGAGUUGCCUACUCCUCUACCUCCAAAACUCCUCCGAUCCUCUGCUUUAUAAGCCACUAGCAGCUGUGUUUCUGGACUGCACUUUGAGAUAGCCUUCCGACAUAGAGCUAACCGAGAUUCCACUGUUAGGUGUGAGAAGUUGGACCAGAUAUCAGAUAUUAGCUUUUUGACUUCAUCAUUGUCCUUUAGGCGUCUGUCAUAUCUGAAAAUCCGAUUGCCUUUUUUCCUUGUAGGGUCCAUAAACGACAGCAAGGGGCGGUGAUCUGAUCCUUCAUAGCGCAAGUAUUGGCUCCUGCAGGAGGGAUAGAGCUCUGUUCAUUCCGUGUUGCUGAUGUCCCUUUCCAAACGAUAGUGUACGAGGUGGGUGCGUCUAAUUCCCAUCCACGCGGGGAAGUUUCCCAAUUGCUUUAGAUCAAACAGUUCGUUCUGAGAGAGGAAAGUUCUGAAGGAACAUAAAGUACCCUCCGCUCUAUCAGGCCCCCCUUGUUUUUCAUUAUUGUUGAUUAUUUUAUUAAAUUCACCAGUUAGGAACCAAGCUUCUCGUGAUUGAGGUUGGAGAUUUGUAAUCUCUGACCAAACUGCUUGCCUCUUCCUGUGGUCAUGUUCCCCAUAUACAAAGGUGGCAUGGAAGGAAACGCCUUUGUAAGUUAUUCUAGCGUCGAUGAAGUUGUUUGUAGAAGAUAGUAUGAACAGAUCGAUCUCCUUCCUCCAAGCUAGGUAAAUUCCUCCUCCUCCCGGACUAUGAGGUGGAACUAAGGAGCCGGGGGUGCAGGAUUGUAAAAAUCCUUCUUCGUUUUUGAGAUAGCUGGAAUCAAUUGUGUUCUUGGUUCUACUGACGCUCUUGAGGGUCCUGUUGUGUUGCAGGAAACCCUUCUAGAAGUAUUCCCAAGUGUAGUUUAUCUGGCCAAGGCCCCUUGGUGUCUCACUGGUGAUUGAUGAGCAGAGGAGAUGUUUCUCUUCCUGGAGUUAGCUCCUCUGAGCACUUUAGAACUCGCUCUAGCUAGUCUGAACUUCGCAGGUACAUGUUUAGUUUUCUCUGAUCUACCAAGUUUGAAACGGAGUUAGUCUGCGUGGUUUGAGCUAAUUGACUGUGUUCUCCAUCUUCCUCUGGGGGUAGUUGCACAAGUGGCAGUAUAGGUGCCUCUGUUCUUAUUUCAACACUGCCUUGUCUGGGUGUAAGGUUUUCAAUUGGGGAUCUUGAGAAAGGUGAGUAGCUCGUUCCUUGCACAAUUAUCAAGUCUUAUCUUUCAUCCCCCUCUUCUACUUGAUAACCUUAACUGGGGGGAUUUUGCACAGGUUGUAAAGCCCGAAUGGUGGAAUCCGCAGGGGGACUCUGGUAGUUACUUGAGCUUGGUCCUUGCUCUGGGAUCUCACGAGCUGCCUCUGUUGCAGCCACAAUGAUACUAGCAGCAAUUUCCUCCAAUAAACCUAAGGCAUCUCCUCUCAGGACUCUUUGCUUCCUUGCUUCUGCCUCCGUCGGAUCCACACAACUCAGAUACUGCAGCGUCACGUGGUUAAGAUCUUCCAUCACCUCAUUUGUUUGAAUUUGCUUAAGAAUUGGUUGAGACUGACGGUGAGUUACGUCUUCUUAUAGUCUUCCUUUGCAGGUGUAGUAUGGAGAGGCAUCCCCGUGUCAGGUCUUCUCGGAAUUACUUCUGGUUGUUUGACAUGCCAUUGAUUCAUCUCUCUAUGGGGGAGAAGAGGCCUGUUCCUUAAAUCUCUUCUUUCCACUUCUUCCCGAUGUCUAGUGAAAGGAGGAGAGGAGUAUUGUGUUGGUUCCUCUCGCCCAGUUCUUAUUGUCCAGUCGGUUCUUGUUUAGUUUUCAGUGAGUCGUCUGCUCCAUUCCGGCGGUGGAGGGUUCCUAGUCUGUUUGGUGCUGACUCUGCUUCCAAAGGCAUUUCCAUAUCUGUCUCUUCUGCUUUGGAAGUUCGUUUGUGGGAGGUUGCUCUCUCUUUCGGAGUUCUCUUUUCAACUUCUCCCCUUGUCUUACCAGUGCUGUAGAAGGUGACUGCUCUCUGGACGAAAGUAGAUUAUGCCUUGGGACUACACUAUCCAUGACAUCAGUGUUUUGAGUUCUCUUCAGUUUUGUUUCCGCAUGAUAUACAGGGCAGUAAGCAACCGGGUGGCAUAGUGAGAAGCAUAAGAAGCAGUGGUUUUCCUAAUUUUUGUACUCCAGGGUAAUGAUGUUUUCUUCUCCUGAUUCAUACUCCAUGAUAUAUUGCUUGACCAAGGGUUUUAGACCAUCAAUCAGUACUCUCAUCCUUGUUGUUUUCUUUGUGAGUUCGUGGUGCUCCAGGUCACCUAACUCAAAGCCCACAUUCCGAACCAUUUUUUCAUGCCAGUAGUGUAGUGGAAUAGCUUUGAUCACAGAAAUCAUAGAUAAAUAGAUGAAAUUGCAAUAAAAUAAAAUAUAAAAAACUAAAGGAGUUCCAGGAGGACUCUGAAGGAGUUCCUCCUUUCUCUCAUAACCUAGAACUAUGAAUUAAAGAAAGCGUGUAACCGUCAACAACGGCUUAGAAAUACAUAAAUAGGGUUUCUGAUCGUCCAUGGAUAUUUUGGUAACUUUGUGUGGCUUCUGGGCUUCAGUAGGUCUUGAAAUAUGCUUGUCCUACGUUCUGACAUCACCGUCGAUCAAUGGCAAGGGUGCACCAUCGAUCGACAGUCCUUCAUCUCCUCGAAAGCUUCCUCUCGCAAGGUAGACUGACCACUCAUUAGUAAAACGGGCAUAACGUCUGCUAUAAGAUGCUGAUUGACCUCAAACCGGUAGCAUUGGAAAGCUAACUCAAACCUAUAUAUUAUAUCUAAAGAUGGGCUCAAUAUAACAGUAGGAAGGUCUCCAUACAUAGCUAAACUUUUGACGCGUCUGUGAAGCUCUUCACUCAAAA